rnacentral:rRNA from 1 species
CAGUCCCGCGGUAAUACAGAGGGUGCAAGCGUUAAUCGGAAUUACUGGGCGUAAAGCGCGCGUAGGUGGUUUGUUAAGUUGGAUGUGAAAGCCCCGGGCUCAACCUGGGAACUGCAUCCAAAACUGGCAAGCUAGAGUACGGUAGAGGGUGGUGGAAUUUCCUGUGUAGCGGUGAAAUGCGUAGAUAUAGGAAGGAACACCAGUGGCGAAGGCGACCACCUGGACUGAUACUGACACUGAGGUGCGAAAGCGUGGGGAGCAAACAGGAUUAGAUACCCGAGUAGUCCCUGUCUCUUAUACA